rnacentral:rRNA from 1 species
ACUUUGAAGAGAGAGUUCAAAAGGGCGUGAAACCGCUUAGAAGAAAACGGACGGAACCGUCUGACGCCCUCGGGAAUCAGUCGAACGACGCGCGAACGCGUCUCGAUCGCCGGAGCGUAAAAGUCCGGCUCGAGGCGUCUAGUAGUCGCGUUCGUAAGGCGCAUUUCUCGAGGGUUAGCGCCGCGACCGAUGCGAACGGCCGACGACGCCGUCGAGUUGAGGUCGAACGCCCUUCGCGGGUAUUCGUAACCAGCUCGUUCGGUAGACUCGUCGGAUCUCUAAUAUAAAGCAUCGAGCGAAUACUAUAAAUACGUCGGCGUAAAACGCUCGACGAGCGGCGGAGACUCGGCCAGUCGUUCGGUACCUGCUCGCAGGUUCUCGUUCGGCGCGAGGUCGUUUCCCGAUGUCGCCGUCGACGCUACCGACGUUUAGGCGUCCGCGGCGUCCGAGUCGGCCACCCGUCCGACCCGUCUUGAAACACGGACCAAGGAGUCUAACGUACGCGCGAGUUAAUGGGUGGAAAACCCAUAAGCGCAAUAAAAGUAAAAGUCGUCCCAAGACGGCCGAGGUACGAUCCUAGACUACGCGUCUAGGCGCAGUACCGUCCCGUCCCGACCGCACGUCGGUAGGGCGGAGAUUGAGCGCAUACGUUGGGACCCGAAAGAUGGUGAACUAUGCCUGAGCAGAGCGAAGCCAGAGGAAACUCUGGUGGAGGUUCGUAGCGGUUCUGACGUGCAAAUCGAUCGUCAGACUUGGGUAUAGGGGCGAAA